AGUGAACGCUGGCGGUAGGCCUAACACAUGCAAGUCGAACGGCCGCACAGUAAGAGCUUGCUCUUACGGGUGGCGAGUGGCGGACGGGUGAGGAAUACAUCGGAAUCUACUUUUUCGUGGGGGAUAACGUAGGGAAACUUACGCUAAUACCGCAUACGACCUACGGGUGAAAGCAGGGGAUCUUCGGACCUUGCGCGAUUGAAUGAGUCGAUGUCGGAUUAGCUAGUUGGCGGGGUAAAGGCCCACCAAGGCGACGAUCCGUAGCUGGUCUGAGAGGAUGAUCAGCCACACUGGAACUGAGACACGGUCCAGACUCCUACGGGAGGCAGCAGUGGGGAAUAUUGGACAAUGGGCGCAAGCCUGAUCCAGCCAUACCGCGUGGGUGAAGAAGGCCUUCGGGUUGUAAAGCCCUUUUGUUGGGAAAGAAAAGCAGCAGGUUAAUACCCCGCUGUUCUGACGGUACCCAAAGAAUAAGCACCGGCUAACUUCGUG
rnacentral:rRNA from 1 species